GAGAUAUUAGUAAAAACAUUACAUAACUUUGUCAAAGUUAAAUUAUAGACUUAAAUCUAUAUAUCUCC
rnacentral:tRNA from 1 species